CGGACGCUCUCUUUAUUGAAUUUUUUGUACAUUAGAAAAUAAAAACCAGUUAAAUGCAUUAUUUAUUUAUUACAGACAUCACAUUAUUAGGGUUUAACAUUGGUUUAUGUGGUUUAGAGUAUAAGUUUGAAGGUUGGUAGGUGUACGUUUGUGGGGUUUGAAGAAUUGGAAGGUAAACGUUUGUGGGGUUUGAAGAUUAAUUAGUAGGGAUAUGUUUGUGGGGUUAUAGAUUAACUGAAUUUUUAUCCAAACUUGAAAUAUCCUACCCCCUCCAACAUCAUCCCUUUCCUUUCCCAACCCC